rnacentral:rRNA from 1 species
AUACGAGCCCUCUCCCUACCCUCUCCCGCAGGCGGGAGAGGGAAAGCCCGCCAAGCGCGAUGGAGUGCCGAUAGCACCCUCUGACUCCCUCUAAGUCCGAAGUCCUCACCUGGCUGGUCACCUCCUAAGCCGAAUCUGCAGAUACCAUCACACGGCGGCCGCCGAGCAUGCUCUAGAGGGCCAAUUCGCCUAUAGUGAUCGUAUUACAUUCACUGGCGUCGUUUUCAACGUCGUACUGGGAAACCCUGGC